rnacentral:rRNA from 1 species
CCUACGGGAGGCAGCAGUAGGGAAUAUUGCACAAUGGAGGAAACUCUGAUGCAGCCAUGCCGCGUGUGUGGAGAAGGCCUUCGGGUUGUAAAGCACUUUCGGAGGGGAGGAAGAAAAUGACGUUACCCUCAGAAGAAGCACCGGCUAACUCCGUGC